CGCGUAGGACGAACGCUGGCGGCGUGCUUAACACAUGCAAGUCGAACGGUAAGGCCCCAGCUUGCUGGGGUACACGAGUGGCGAACGGGUGAGUAACACGUGGGUGACCUGCCCCGCACUUCGGGAUAAGCCUGGGAAACUGGGUCUAAUACCGGAUAGGACCGCACCGUGAGGGUGUGGUGGAAAGUUUUUCGGUGUGGGAUGGGCCCGCGGCCUAUCAGCUUGUUGGUGGGGUAAUGGCCUACCAAGGCGGCGACGGGUAGCCGGCCUGAGAGGGUGGACGGCCACAUUGGGACUGAGACACGGCCCAGACUCCUACGGGAGGCAGCAGUGGGGAAUAUUGCACAAUGGGCGGAAGCCUGAAUGCAGCGACGCCGCGUGGGGGAUGACGGCCUUCGGGUUGUAAACUCCUUUCACCAUCGACGAAGGUUUUCUGACGGUAGAUGGAGAAGAAGCACCGGCUAACUACGUGCCAGCCGCAGC
rnacentral:rRNA from 1 species